rnacentral:rRNA from 1 species
AUUGAACGCUGGCGGCAGGCCUAACACAUGCAAGUCGAACGGUAACAGGAAGCAGCUUGCUGCUUUGCUGACGAGUGGCGGACGGGUGAGUAAUGUCUGGGAAACUGCCUGAUGGAGGGGGAUAACUACUGGAAGCGGUAGCUAAUACCGCAUAACGUCGCAAGACCAAAGAGGGGGACCUUCGGGCCUCUUGCCAUCGGAUGUGCCCAGAUGGGAUUAGCUAGUAGGUGGGGUAACGGCUCACCUAGGCGACGAUCCCUAGCUGGUCUGAGAGGAUGACCAGCCACACUGGAACUGAGACACGGUCCAGACUCCUACGGGAGGCAGCAGUGGGGAAUAUUGCACAAUGGGCGCAAGCCUGAUGCAGCCAUGCCGAGUGUAUGAAGAAGGCCUUCGGGUUGUAAAGUACUUUCAGCGGGGAGGAAGGGAGUAAAGUUAAUACCUUUGCUCAUUGACGUUACCCGCAGAAGAAGCACCGGCUAACUCCGUG